AUCAAGUUGACGGGUCCCGAAUAGGACGAAACGCGCGUCUUGGAU
rfam:Schistosoma haematobium scaffold80_18, whole genome shotgun sequence.